rnacentral:rRNA from 1 species
AUUGAACGCUGGCGGCAGGCUUAACACAUGCAAGUCGAGCGAGCGGCGGACGGGUGAGUAAUGUCUGGGAAACUGCCUGAUGGAGGGGGAUAACUACUGGAAACGGUAUCUAAUACCGCAUACCAUCAGAUGUUCCCAGAUGGGAUUAGCUAGUAGGUGGGGUAAUGGCUCACCUAGGCGAAGAUCCCUAGCUGGUCUGCGAGUAUUACAAGCCAACCUGUAACUGAGACACGGCCCAGACUCCUACGGGAGGCAGCAGUGGGGAAUAUUGCAACAGUGGCGAAAGCCUGAUGCAGCCAUGCCGCGUGUGUGAAGAAGGCCUUCGGGUUGUAAAGCACUUUAAGCGAGGAGGCGUUACUCGCAGAAGAAGCACCGGCUAACUCCGUGCCAGCAGCCGCGGUAAUUC